CCACUAUGCUUAGCCCUAAACAUCGAUUGCACCAUACACUCCAUAUCCGCCCGGGAAUUAUGAACGUCAGUUUAAAACCCAAAGGACUUGGCGGUGCUUAACAUCCACCUAGAGGAGCCUGUUCUAGAACCGAUAACCCCCGUUAAACCUCACCCUCUCUUGUUUUAUCCGCCUAUAUACCACCGUCGUCAGCUUACCCUGUGAAGGAUUUACAGUAAGCAAAAUUGGCACAGCCCAAAACGUCAGGUCGAGGUGUAGUGAAUGAGGGGGGAAGAAAUGGGCUACAUUUGCUAAGUAUAGCAAACACGAAUGUUGCAUUGAAACAUGCAGCUGAAGGAGGAUUUAGCAGUAAGCAGGAAGUAGAGCGUCCCGCUGAAACUGGCCCUAAAGCGCGCACACACCGCCCGUCCACCCUCCCCAAGCCCCCUCCGAACUAAUCUAAUUAAAAGCCAACAACCCGCGAAGGGGAGGAAA
rnacentral:rRNA from 1 species